rnacentral:rRNA from 1 species
UUGGUGAGGUAAAGGCUUACCAAGGCUUCGAUCAGUAGCUGGUCUGAGAGGACGACCAGCCACACUGGGACUGAGACACGGCCCAGACUCCUACGGGAGGCAGCAGUGGGGAAUUUUGGACAAUGGGGGCAACCCUGAUCCAUCCAUGCCGCGUGAGUGAAG